GCGCUCAUAGUUCAACGGAGAGAAUACCUAACUACGAAUUAGGAGAUAAAAGUUCGAUUCUUUUUGGGCGUACCA
rnacentral:tRNA from 2 species